UACGAAGGGGGCGAGCGUUGUUCGGAUUUACUGGGCGUAAAGGGCACGCAGGCGGUGCGGCGCGUUUCGCGUGACAGCGGAGGGCUUAACUCUCCGAGGAUGCGAAAGACGGCGGCACUUGAGGGCCAGAGAGGGACACGGAAUUCCGGGUGGAGUGGUGAAAUGCGUAGAGAUCCGGAGGAACACCGAAGGCGAAGGCAGUGUCCUGGCUGGUGACUGACGCUGAGGUGCGAAGGCGUGGGGAGCGUACGGG
rnacentral:rRNA from 1 species